rnacentral:rRNA from 1 species
GACGAACGCUGGCGGCGUGCUUAACACAUGCAAGUCGAACGAUGAAGCCGGAGCUUGCUCUGGUGAAUUAGUGGCGAACGGGUGAGUAACACGUGAGUAACCUGCCCUUGACUCUGGGAUAACUGCGGGAAACUGUAGCUAAUACCGGAUACGACCCUCGGAGGCAUCUCCUGGGGGUGGAAAGAAUUUCGGUCAAGGAUGGACUCGCGGCCUAUCAGCUAGUUGGUGAGGUAAAGGCUCACCAAGGCGACGACGGGUAGCCGGCCUGAGAGGGUGACCGGCCACACUGGGACUGAGAGACGGCCCAGACUCCUACGGGAGGCAGCAGUGGGGAAUAUUGCACAAUGGGCGCAAGCCUGAUGCAGCGACGCCGCGUGAGGGAUGACGGCCUUCGGGUUGUAAACCUCUUUCAGCACCGACGAAGCGCAAGUGACGGUAGGUGCAGAAGAAGGACCGGCCAACUACGUGCCAGCCGCCGCGGUAA